AGCAAGAAAAAUGUUGGGAUCCAGGAAGUAGGAGCAUUCUCCACAACCCUCUGAAACCAAGAGGCCCGGGCUGAUCGACGUUCCGACCCUAGCUCUUAGCCCCGUCCCGUCGGGGGAGGGAAGAGGAAAGCGCAGGAGAAGGUCGACCCCGGCCCCGGGCGGGGAGCCCCGUCCUCACCCCUCCUCAGCCGCCACACAGCCCCCACCUACCCGCCGCUUCCCACAGACCCCGGCCCGAGGCGCGCCUCCCGGGCUUCGGCUGCCGAAACCCGGCCCCUCCGGCCCCGGCUCCAGAAGCCCAGCGGCGGCGGCCGCCACGGGGUGGUAUGUAUGUCUUCAUGGUGCUCAGUGCUUCCAGGUAUCAUAAUAUCAGUCCAGGUAUUAUUAGCACCCUUGGCAUCUCCCUGCAUUAGUUUCUACUUUUCAUUCCAGGUAAGGACAUGCUUUGGGUUCCACCGUUCCAUUUUUCUAGUUCUCUGCAUACCAUCCUUAUCUUUAGACCAUCAGGUAGCUGAAUGAGCUAGGGGAGAAGAGAGUAUCCAAAUUUAAUGUGCCCAUCCUCGUUGUCAUUUUAUUACAUUAGUACUCUGAAGCAGGUGGAAACACCAAAACAAAAUAGAAAAAUCAAGCAUGGAGUGUUUCAUUUUUCCCCAGACAUGAAUUCGUACAGGUGUCUCUUGGGUGAGGGCCUUUGCCUUGAUUUUAACCAUAAAGCGUUUUUAGUCCAGUUGAUGGUUCACUGAUUUUGUCAGAAGUCUGCUGACUGCACUGGUGAUGGAUGGCAGACUGAUCCCAUACACAGAAAUGAGUCCUGAAAAUGACUCUCUCAUUUCUCCUGACUUCUGCCGAUCUGCAGAGAUGUUUUUCUAAUGUUUGGAGUUUGGAGGACAGAAGACAAGAAAAAAGCAUUUAGUUGCACUCUGAAAUUUAACCACUUUUUGGCUAAGUUUGGUUAUUAAUGCUUUUAACUACAUGUUUAAUUAUAUUCUAUGUUUGAUUUUAAUAGUAGUUAAGCCAUUAUGGCUCAGAAGAAUUUUUAAUGACUGACUCCCCAGGUAUAAAAUCAAAGGGACAGUUUGAGUGACUUCCCAGACCCCUUCUAGUCCUUGAACUUCUGUGACUUGAUGACUCAACAUGAACUUCAUGGUUAUUUAUUUAUUUAUUUAUUUAUUUAUUUUUAUUUAUUCACAAGAGACACACACAGAGAGCAGAGACAUAGGCAGAGGGAGAAACGGGCUCCAUGCAAGGAGCCCGAUGUGGGACUCGAUCCUGGGUCUCCAGGAUCACACCCUGAGCCAAAGGCAGGCGCUCAACCGCUGAGUCACCCAGGUGUCCCUUCAUGGUCUUUUAACAGAGCUCUAUUAAUGAAAGGCAGAAUAAAAAUCACCCCCAAAUAUGCAAAUUUGAAACCAAGGGUGCUUACUAUUUACAUAGAAAAUGAAAAUGUAAUUUCAUAAUACUAUAGGAAAGCAUGAAGUGUUUGAGGGAGGAGCAGAAAAUAGCAAGAAGGAAGAAAUACUUGCUUGAAACUUCUGGCUUUUAUUCCCUGUAUCUUACGAUGUUUUAAUAUCUGGGGGGCCUUCCAGCCACAGGGAGAGAGACUACACCUCCCAGGGCUAGCUAAUCUCUGCAGAUAACAGUCUACCUAGAAUUAUACCUUCUGUGUAAAAACACAGUCUCACAUCUGUCCCCCCAACACCCUCCUUUUCUGACUCCCUGACAGACACCAAUAUUUCCCGGAACCUAAGUCGUCCCAGGGCCAGGUAGCAGGCCAUCAGAAUUCAUCCCUGUAGCCUGAAUUGACCUUUCUGUAUCAUCGUUCUGUUACUUACGUAAAUUAAAAUCCCGUGGGUCCAAAUGAGACAGACAUUUGGUCUCUGUUGACCGUGGGAACCAGGAGAACUCCCUGUACUGCAUGUUCCUCGUGGCUAUGGUUGGCUCACUUCUGUGGGACACCUUACAGAUGAUAACCCAGACCUCCGAUUCAGUCCCCUUGCAGGCUGCAUAGCUUUGCGGUAUUUCCCGAUCACGCAUCCAACCCCUAGACUGGGCCACAUUCGAAAAAUAAAUGUUUAAUCUUAAAGUGUAAGGUGACAGGCCUGUGGGGACAGAGGUGGAGAAUGACAGAUAAUCACUGCAGCUUUACUUGUUAUUUUGGGACCAUUAGUCAUAGGCCAUGCCCGACCAAAGCCACAUCCCUCCUAUUGUCUUCCCAUAUCAAACUGAAUUCAUUGUUGCUCUGAGCCUCCUACCCGUAACAAUAGCCAUAAUUGGGGCACCUACUCUGUGUCUCUCAUCCUCACAUCAGACCUUCCCUGAAACUCCGAUUAUGUCUCAUUUUUUGAUGAAGAAACAGACUCCAAGAGGUUAGUUUUCUCACUGGCACACAGCUAGAAGGUGGGGAGCUAGUAAGCGUAAGAGCCAGGACUGAGAGUUGAAAUCUGAUUCUAAACCCUGCCUUCUCUCCCCCACGCCACACUGCCCUGGGAACGGAUGAAAUCCAGUGUGGAGAGCUCCUCGUGUGUCUGAACCGCAUCACGCUGACAGUGGUUCACGUGGGCAGCAGGCAUCUUUCUGUUGUCGUGACUAAGCCCUGCUGCUCUUCUGCGUUGCAUGGGGAGAGCUCUUAUGAUCUCCGGCUCUUGUUUCUUACUCUGAAAAACAAGGGGUUUGGAGUAGAUGUCUUUUAUGAUAACAAUUUGGAUUCUUAAAAUGUAACUUUGCUACCCUCUGAUGCAUGAGACAUUUCUAUUUUAAAUCCUUCUUAUUUCCAAAGUAGACUUGAAGUACCCAACUACUCAAGUGUUAGCUUUAUUUAGCUGAUAUUUUAUCUUUUUUCUUUCUUUCUUAGAAUUCCAGGAAGUCAACAAAACACGUGAAUUGGUUAACCUGAAGGAGAUCUUUAGUGGCCUGAAGUUUGAAGUACAAAUAAAAGAAGGAGGUCUUUAUUUAUUUUUUUUUAAUUUUAUUUAUUUAUUAGAGAUACAGAGAGAGAGAGGGAGGCAGAGACACAGGCAGAGGGAGAAGCAGGCUCCACGCAGGGAGCCCGACGUGGGACUCGAUCCCGGGUCUCCAGGAUCGCGCCCUGGACCAAAGGCGGCACCAAACCACUGAGCCACCCAGGCUGCCCGAAGAGGUCUUUAAUAAACAAAUGAUGUGUCAUUUGGGACAAA